AUUGCUUUCAAGAUGGCGGCAAAAUUGACGUGUGAAUCGGGUGUUGCGUGAUUUCAGCACCGCGUUUGGCAAUACUCUGACCUUCAGCGGUGAUCACGGAAACCAAGACCAUAACCCGUGUCCCAGCAAGCGGGCACGGUCACAGUGAAGACAGAAAAACAGUAUGGUCGCAGUGCAGUGAAGACAGAAAAACAUGACUUCCAACGUUUCCAGGUUUCUUAGUGAAGGGAAUUUGAUCUCACGGUUACUAGUAAGGGUUUUCCAACAACCGCCAAGUUCCAGUGUUGUGAUUCCAGGAACUUUUACCAAAAGAACUUCCACGGGGAAUUCCUGUCAUUUGCUUGGAAUUUCCAAUCGAAAUGUCAGCCAGCUGACUAGCUGCAGUUUGGGUAGAAGUCGGCAGAGGGCCAACAUCCAUCCAGGUGACUCCCAUCUUCCAAGGACAAGCAGUUCACUAAUGCAGUGGUAUUUCAACAAAACUCAGAAAAAUAUAUUUCACGAAGACUCUCUUAAGAAAGAUGUCCUUUCGUCAUUCCCUUUUGUCAAAAAGCAUUCCUUGUUCACUCUUAGCUGUUAUGCAAGAAACAACAGCUCGAUUUUCAACAGAAAUGUUUUGAACAUGAAGGAGAAAGAUUUAAGUCAAGCUUGUAGGAUACUUACAACAAGAGGAAGCGAUGUGGAAACCAAAAUAAGACCUGCAGUCAGAACUAGGACCAAACAACCUGCACUGGCAGCUGCAAAGGCGCCAAAGGAGAAGAUGCUGGUGUGUAUAGCGUACAUUACAGCUGAGGAGUAUGGUAAAUGUUACUAGAGACAGUAAUGUUGUAUUGUUGACUUCCCUAUCAGAUGCUGGUGUGUAUAGCGUAUACUACAGCCGAGGAGUAUGGUAAAUGUUACUAGAGACAGUAAUGUUGUAUUGUUGACUUCCCUAUCAGAAUGCUGGUGUGUAUAGCGUACAUUACAGCUGAGGAGUAUGGUAAAUGUUACUAGAGACAGUAAUGUUGUAUUGUUGACUUCCCUAUCAGAUGCUGGUGUGUAUAGCGUACAUUACAGCUGAGGAGUAUGGUAAAUGU